AGUAAGCCAGUACGCCCCCCCACCUUUCCGUGUGGUGCUUCUUCAUCCAUCGCCUCCGGCUCCGCGAAGCAAGUUGACUUGUAGACAUGGAUUUGGGAUCUCUGGUUCGUGCUUCAGAUCUGGCCGGCUUCUCGCCGCCCUCCUGUCACUGUAAUCUUUCGUCAGAGUUUUGACUGGCGAGGCUGCCGUCUCUUUACUACUGGUUUUUACAGGAUGGGCUAAUGAGGCAGGUAAACGGAAGGUUCGUGUAAAUUUCUUCAGACGUCAGAUGUGCAGGAUUUGAAAUUUCAGUUAUGCCUUUUGAGUUUUGAGCUAUGUGCUACUGCUCAGUUUUCGGCAGUGCAAUAUUUGAGUAAAACAAUUCAUACUUCAAGGGGAGGGACCUAGCUAGGAAAGCUUAACAAAUGCAAUCAGCUUUUAACUUCUAAUCAUCCUAGGCUAUGAAACAGUGUGCUACAUGUACAUACAUUCUCUCCACCCAUCUGAUUGGAGCAGUGCCUCCCCUCCACACUGGGUGGAUGAUUGAGCAAGGCUGCUUCAGCUUCACGUCCAAACAAAAAGAAGAAACAGGCAGGUUCAAUGGAAUUGUCCAACUCCAUUGUCCUCUCUGCUACACUGCACACUCGCAUAAACAAAAAAGCUCGGAGUCAGUAUUAUAUGCAUGUUGGGACUAGGGUUGCCACCUGCUAAAUUUCAGGUUUGGGUCCAUCCAUCCAGCAUCAUUAGUCCAUGGCAUUCAAACUCACGUACUGCUACUUGACAGUUUCCUUCAUUUUGUUUUGCUCAACAGCAUGUACUACUACCAUAUAAAUUACUAGGCGUACAUCUGAUCAGCCACUAGAAAUCAAGGGAGUUACAUGGGUAACUGAAACUAGUGAGAAGCUAGUGCUUGUUGCCAUUGCUGGCAUGGGGCACUGUGGCAUUCACAUUCACCAAAUCCCAGAUGAGCCAAACAAAUAGGGCCCUCCUCCUAGUUUUAAAAAAGCAAUGAGAGAAUAUGUAUAUGUAUAACUAACAACAUUGCUUUCAUCACCCACUAACUGUUCAAGCAAAUUGCUCCACCAAUUUGCCUGCAUGCACUUUUUGGGGAAUUGCCGGUGAAGAAGGCAGAUUUUGGGGACAAUUCAGUUGAGGAAUAAACAGAACUACUAUAUCAAAACUACAGGCAUACACAUAGCAUAUGUAGCAGCAGUGUACUAGAAGCUAUGUACAAAAAAAUAUCAUGAAAAUAUGUUCUUGUUUUGCACUCUACAUUGAUCCUUGGUCCAGCUGAUCAUUAAGAUAUGGAUUGGCACGGUCCAAGAUAUAGUCUUGCUCAGAUUCCCUGAUAAAAUAUUACCUUGCGGUUGGGUCUGAUCCAAGUUGUUUAUGCAGGUCUAGAACUCAUGAUUUCAUGAGCUCUCAGGGUACUAACCUGAGUUUAAUGCAGCAAUCAUCUCGCCCCCAAAAGAGUGAGCAUAUAUUUCUACCCACUGAAGUUUGUUGCUACCGUUGGACCUUGAAAUAUAUUGUUUCUGAAGCUUUUUGGAAACCCUGCCAUGAUGUUUCUCAGCUUUCCUAUCAUCUUUCUUUGAGCAGAACAGCAUGAGAUUUGCAUUGCUACCGAGAUUCUCACAACUGAUGUAUAGCGUUUUUCUACUAAGGGGGUGUUU
rnacentral:lncRNA from 1 species